rnacentral:rRNA from 1 species
UACGUAGGGUGCGAGCGUUACUCGGAAUUACUGGGCGUAAAGCGUGCGCAGGCGGUUUUGUAAGCCAGAUGUGAAAUCCCCGGGCUUAACCUGGGAAUGGCAUUUGGGACUGCAAGGCUUGAGUGCGGCAGAGGAGACUGGAAUUCCUGGUGUAGCAGUGAAAUGCGUAGAUAUCAGGAGGAAUACCGAUGACGAAGGCAGGUCUCUGGGCUGACACUGACGCUCAUGCACGAAAGCGUGGGGAGCAAACAGG